UGGUAAGGCACACAACUUGAUGGGGAAUU
rnacentral:piRNA from 1 species